rnacentral:misc_RNA from 1 species
GAUGAAGAACGUAGCGAAAUGCGAUACUUGGUGUGAAUUGCAGAAUCCCGUGAACCAUCGAGUCUUUGAACGCAAGUUGCGCCCAAAGCCUCGGCUAAGGGCACGUCUGCCUGGGCGUCACGCAUCGCGUCUCCCCCAAACCGCCAAGGCGGAGGGGAAGGAAGAUGGCUUCCCGUGCCUCACCCGGGCGCGGUUGGCCUAAAUUUGGAGCCCGCGGCACUUAGCUCUCGCGGCGAUAGGUGGUGAACAAGGCCUUGGCCGUGCAAACAACCCGCUGCGAAGCUCUAUGUCACGUGCGCUCGUCGGACCCUUUGAAGUUGCCUUUGGUGACUUAAAACCUUUGCGACCCCAGGUCAGGCGGGGCUACCCGCUGAAUUUAAGCAUAUCAAUAAGCGGAGGA